rnacentral:lncRNA from 1 species
CCAAAACUUCAAUAUGGAAGAGGAGCAGAAAUAAGAUCUACAUGAUGCUUUUUACGGAAGAGUGGCUGAUGAUGCAUCACUCAUCCUGUGAGGCACCUGCUGCCAGUGACUGUGCCAGCCUGGGAUCUUGCACCAGUUGUUCAGUGUACAAGGAUACUUUCUCUUCUGUCUCCUUAUGAUGCUCAGGUCUUGAUACAUCUGUACAGACUCAAACCUUUGUGGUACUAAACUCUUGCUUCAGUCAUUAUUGUUUCACAUAUACUGGUGGCCCUGGGGACAUUGAACUGCAGAUACUACAGACUCCUCAGAGUUCCUUAACUAAGCAAAAGUGUUGGAGGC